UGGGGAAUAUUGCACAAUGGGGGAAACCCUGAUGCAGCGACGCCGCGUGAAGGAAGAAGUAUUUCGGUAUGUAAACUUCUAUCAGCAGGGAAGAAAAUGACGGUACCUGACUAAGAAGCCCCGGCUAACUACGUGCCAGCAGCCGCGGUAAUACGUAGGGGGCAAGCGUUAUCCGGAUUUACUGGGUGUAAAGGGAGCGUAGACGGCAUGGCAAGUCUGGUGUGAAAGGCAGGGGCUCAACCCCUGGACUGCAUUGGAAACUGUCAGGCUGGAGUGCAGGAGA
rnacentral:rRNA from 1 species